GGUGGACGGACCCGGCGACCUGCCUUGUUGUUGCUCCUGCCUCCUCGGUUUGGCGUCGCCUGCCGUUCUGUAGGUGUAGGGCUCCGGGGGGGUGAGGGGGAACCUGCGCAGGUGAGCGAUGUGCUUGGUGAAUGUGAGCUACGGGUGCGAUAUAAAUGCCAGGGCGCAACACAACACAACGCUAAGACAGCUCUGCCACCCUCUUCCUUCUUUUUCUUUUAGGGGCAUGAGGGGAGCUGCCAAGGUUGGCUUUCAAAUAGAGCGUGGAACAAGUUGUCAUCCAUACCAUAUAUUAUCCGAAUCUCUGCAAGCCUCCUCCCUACGACUGAGCAGUCAUCUAGCCACUGAGUACUAUGCAAGCUCAAAGGCUUUGCCUGUAAUGGUUGCUUCACACCAAAAUAAAGCUAGGCAAGGGGACUGAGCAAAGGUUUGGCAGACUAGGUAGUAUCAGCUGCCUUGUGUGCUAUCCAUCGGUAAGUCUGGAUAGAAUUUCUUGUUUCUUUUUUUUAUUGCUAUUGUACACUGAUCUAAUCCUUUCAAUGACUUUUCCUGCAAUAAACUUCUAAUACUUUUCCUCGUUGUUUGCGAG
rnacentral:lncRNA from 1 species